UAAGGAAUAUUGGUCAGUGGACGCAAGUCUGAACCAGCCAUGCCGCGUGAAGGAUGAAGGUCCUCUGGAUUGUAAACUUCUUUUAUCUGGGACGAAAACGGGAUUUUAUCUCAAUUGACGGUACCAGAGGAAUAAGCACCGGCUAACUACGUGCCAGCAGCCGCGGUAAUACGUAGGGGGCAAGCGUUGUCCGGAUUUACUGGGUGUAAAGGGCGCGCAGGCGGGAUAAAAAGUCAGUGGUGAAAUCCUACAGCUUAACUGUAGAACUGCCUUUGAUACUUUUAUUCUUGAGUUCGGGAGAGAGAGACGGAAUUCCAGGUGUAGUGGUGAAAUACGUAGAUAUCUGGAAGAACACCAGUUGCGAAGGCGGUCUCUUGGUCCGACACUGACGCUGAGGCGCGAAAGCGUGGGGAGCAAACA
rnacentral:rRNA from 1 species